GGGGGUGUAGCUCAGUAGUAGAGAGUUUGCUUAACAAGAAAGAGGUCCUGGGUUCAAUUCCCAGUACCACAA
rnacentral:tRNA from 1 species